AUGGUUAAGUUAGAAAGGGCGCACGGUGAAUGCCUUGGCACUAGGAGCCGAUGAAGGACGGGACUAACACCGAUAUGCUUCGGGGAGCUGUAAGUGAGCUUUGAUCCGGAGAUUUCCGAAUGGGGAAACCCACUGUUCGUAAUGGAACAGUAUCUUUAUCUGAAUACAUAGGAUAUUGAAGGCAGACCCGGGGAACUGAAACAUCUAAGUACCCGGAGGAAGAGAAAGCAAAUGCGAUUUCCUGAGUAGCGGCGAGCGAAACGGAAUUAGCCCAAACCAAGAGGCUUGCCUCUUGGGGUUGUAGGACACUCUAUACGGAGUUACAAAGGAACGAAGUAAAUGAAGCGACCUGGAAAGGUCCGUCGAAGAAGGUAACAACCCUGUAGUUGAAACUUCGUUCCUCUUGAGUGGAUCCUGAGUACGGCGGAACACGUGAAAUUCCGUCGGAAGCUGGGAGGACCAUCUCCCAAGGCUAAAUACUACCUAGUGACCGAUAGUGAACCAGUACCGUGAGGGAAAGGUGAAAAGCACCCCGGAAGGGGAGUGAAAGAGAUCCUGAAACCGUGUGCCUACAAGUAGUCAGAGCCCGUUAACGGGUGAUGGCGUGCCUUUUGUAGAAUGAACCGGCGAGUUACGAUCCCAUGCAAGGUUAAGCUGAUAAGGCGGAGCCGUAGCGAAAGCGAGUCUGAAUAGGGCGUUUAGUAUGUGGUUGUAGACCCGAAACCAGGUGAUCUACCCAUGUCCAGGGUGAAGUUCAGGUAACACUGAAUGGAGGCCCGAACCCACGCACGUUGAAAAGUGCGGGGAUGAGGUGUGGGUAGCGGAGAAAUUCCAAUCGAACCUGGAGAUAGCUGGUUCUCUCCGAAAUAGCUUUAGGGCUAGCCUCAUGUUGUGAGAGUCUUGGAGGUAGAGCACUGAUUGGACUAGGGGCCCCCAACGGGUUACCGAAUUCAGUCAAACUCCGAAUGCCAAAGACUUAUCCAUGGGAGUCAGACUGCGAGUGAUAAGAUCCGUAGUCAAAAGGGAAACAGCCCAGACCACCAGCUAAGGUCCCCAAGUAUACGUUAAGUGGAAAAGGAUGUGGAGUUGCUUAGACAACCAGGAUGUUGGCUUAGAAGCAGCCACCAUUUAAAGAGUGCGUAAUAGCUCACUGGUCGAGUGACUCUGCGCCGAAAAUGUACCGGGGCUAAACGUAUCACCGAAGCUGUGGAUUGACAUCUUAGAUGUCAGUGGUAGGAGAGCGUUCUAAGUGCUGUGAAGUCAGACCGUAAGGACUGGUGGAGCGCUUAGAAGUGAGAAUGCCGGUAUGAGUAGCGAAAGACAAGUGAGAAUCUUGUCCACCGAAUGCCUAAGGUUUCCUGAGGAAGGCUCGUCCGCUCAGGGUUAGUCGGGACCUAAGCCGAGGCUGAAAAGCGUAGGCGAUGGCCAACAGGUUGAUAUUCCUGUACCACCUCCCCGCCGUUUGAGUAAUGGGGGGACGCAGUAGGAUAGGGUAAGCGCGCUGCUGGAUAUGCGCGUUCAAGCAGUUAGGCUGAUGAGUAGGCAAAUCCGCUCAUCAUAAAGGCUGAGCUGUGAUGACGAGGGAAUUAUAGUACCGAAGUUCCUGAUUCCACACUGCCAAGAAAAGCCUCUAGCGAGGCGGGAGGUGCCCGUACCGCAAACCGACACAGGUAGGCGAGGAGAGAAUCCUAAGGUGAUCGAGAGAACUCUCGUUAAGGAACUCGGCAAAAUGACCCCGUAACUUCGGGAGAAGGGGUGCUCUGGUAGGGUGUAUAGCCCGAGAGAGCCGCAGUGAAUAGGCCCAGGCGACUGUUUAGCAAAAACACAGGUCUCUGCGAAGCCGCAAGGCGAAGUAUAGGGGCUGACGCCUGCCCGGUGCUGGAAGGUUAAGAGGAGGGGUUAUCCUUUGGGAGAAGCUCUGAAUCGAAGCCCCAGUAAACGGCGGCCGUAACUAUAACGGUCCUAAGGUAGCGAAAUUCCUUGUCGGGUAAGUUCCGACCCGCACGAAAGGCGUAACGAUCUGGGCACUGUCUCAACGAGAGACUCGGUGAAAUUAUAGUACCUGUGAAGAUGCAGGUUACCCGCGACAGGACGGAAAGACCCCGUGGAGCUUUACUGUAGCCUGAUAUUGAAUUUUGGUACAGCUUGUACAGGAUAGGUAGGAGCCUGAGAAGCCGGAGCGCUAGCUUCGGUGGAGGCGUCGGUGGGAUACUACCCUGGCUGUAUUGAAAUUCUAACCCGCGGCCCUGAUCGGGCCGGGAGACAGUGUCAGGUGGGCAGUUUGACUGGGGCGGUCGCCUCCUAAAAUGUAACGGAGGCGCCCAAAGGUUCCCUCAGAAUGGUUGGAAAUCAUUCGUAGAGUGUAAAGGCACAAGGGAGCUUGACUGCGAGACCUACAAGUCGAGCAGGGACGAAAGUCGGGCUUAGUGAUCCGGUGGUUCCGCAUGGAAGGGCCAUCGCUCAACGGAUAAAAGCUACCCCGGGGAUAACAGGCUUAUCUCCCCCAAGAGUCCACAUCGACGGGGAGGUUUGGCACCUCGAUGUCGGCUCAUCGCAUCCUGGGGCUGUAGUCGGUCCCAAGGGUUGGGCUGUUCGCCCAUUAAAGCGGUACGCGAGCUGGGUUCAGAACGUCGUGAGACAGUUCGGUCCCUAUCCGUCGUGGGCGUAGGAAAUUUGAGAGGAGCUGUCCUUAGUACGAGAGGACCGGGAUGGACACACCGCUGGUGUACCAGUUGUCUUGCCAAAGGCAUCGCUGGGUAGCUAUGUGUGGACGGGAUAAGUGCUGAAAGCAUCUAAGCAUGAAGCCCCCCUCAAGAUGAGAUUUCCCAUAGCGCAAGCUAGUAAGAUCCCUGAAAGAUGAUCAGGUUGAUAGGUCAGAGGUGGAAGCGUGGCGACAUGUGUAGCUGACUGAUACUAAUCGAUCGAGGACUUAACCAAA
rnacentral:rRNA from 2 species